rnacentral:rRNA from 1 species
UACGUAGGGUCCGAGCGUUGUCCGGAAUUACUGGGCGUAAAGAGCUCGUAGGUGGUUUGUCGCGUUGUUCGUGAAAACUCACAGCUCAACUGUGGGCGUGCGGGCGAUACGGGCAGACUUGAGUACUGCAGGGGAGACUGGAAUUCCUGGUGUAGCGGUGGAAUGCGCAGAUAUCAGGAGGAACACCGGUGGCGAAGGCGGCUCUCUGGGCCUUACCUGACGCUGAGGAGCGAAAGCGUGGGUAGCGAACAGG